AUGAAGAGUACUUUCACUUGAUGUCCUUUUAUUGUUGUUGACAAUUUCUAUCAAUAUCACCACACCACUGGGGAAAUGAAAUCCUCUCUACAUAGAUAAGUUAGUUUUCAACGAACCAUUUCAAGAAGCAUAUUUACCCCAACCACUAGUGGUACAUUCUUUAAUUCCACCGUACGAUUUCUUCGUAGCGUUGAUGGCUCGAUCCAAAAUCUACCGCCAUUACAAUUGCAGAAUGACAAAAUCAUACCGUAGAAAUCAUUUCAAUACGUUUAAUCACUUCUAGGACAAUGUAAAUCAUUCCAAUGUACUGAAUCCAAAUGAGUUCCUUAUGAACUUCAACGAACCACUUCAAGAAGCAUACUUAUCUCAGCCACCCACAGUACAUUCUUUAGUUGUUUGUUUCUAUUUCUAUAGAGGACUAUUGCUUAGAUACUAUUACAUACCUCUGUAGCUGGAUUGCGAAUCUACUCAAAUCUAACAACUUUAGAUCCCGUUCAAAUAGGAAACAAAUUGUACUAUAUAUUUAUCAUACCACUAGAAAUAUUAAAGAAAAUAAAACCAGCAUUGAUAGUCUUGUUUUUAACCAGAUUGUGCAUCGGUUAGUUUUGUUUCCCUAUCGAGAUGAUCUUAUUGUCACUAGUAUCUAUGGAAUUGUUCACAUUAAUAGAGCUAGUGUUCACAGAGACAUCAUCAAUUUCAUCUCCUGCACUUUCAUCAGCUACAAUCUUAUGGAUGCAACUGUCACAUCGUCACCACUUAUGUUUUGGAAUGUCUAGUGGAGGAAGUUGCUCCUCGGGGUUACGAAUAAUUGAUCCUAAAGGUGAACAACCAUCCAUGUCCUUCUUUCUCAUCUCAGCAAUAUAUCGACUAUAUCACAAAGAAAAAGACCAACAAAUAUAUUGGAUUAUUUUUUUGUCCAAUCUAAUAGAGGAGUUAAUAUUCCAAGAAAUCACUCAACUACUAGUUAUUAUUCAAAAUUAGCCUUAUGGGAUCUAUGUGCCUGUAAAUGUCGGAGACUGACAACAUCAGAAUAAAUUGCAGCACAUUUGCGAGGUAAACCUACUUCCUUCACCAAGUUAUCGUGUGGAUUUUACGAAUUUGGCAUGAAGAUCCACUGUCCACCCGUUUUGUGACAAUACUAAACAAACUACACCUAUUGUCAGUGUGAUAACACAAUCCCGUGGAUUAAGGAAGCAUCAUAAAGUUCCAUUACAACAACAAAGAUAUACAUAUAAGCUUCCUGGUUCUCGAGGUGUUUAAUGGGAAAACAAGAUAUCUACCUGUUGAAGAAGCACUCGGUCUACCAUCACGCGUCAAUAAAGAUAGAUAUCUGAUGAAAAUUGCCGGCUUAUGACAACAAAAUCCAUGGCAACCAUGACUCAAGGAAACUUUAGCAAGCCUGGAGCUCAAACUUCAAAUUCGUUUCCUAAUAAGAGUUCACUGCAAAGGGUUUUAGUAUCAGAAGGAUAUACAAAUCCUCAGAAUCUCAAAUGCGCUAAAAUCAUUGAACAAAGCAAAAAAGUCAUACAAUCAUCUAAAGGUACUGAUGAGCUUAAGAGUCCCGGUGCAACAUAUCAACAGUAUCACAAAGAAAAUGACAAAAAAUAUUUUGAAUUAUUUCCUUGUCCGAUCUAGUAGAGGAGUUAAUUUCUCAAGCGAUCACUCAACUACAAGUUAUUAUCUCAGUUUAGAUCAGAAUAAUAAGGAGUAACAGACGUGUUCUAUUAUUAUAGCUUUUAUUUAUUUAAGGACUUUUAUAAUUAAGAAAUGAAGAACAGUUCUGUUCGCAACAAAUUUUUGUUAUGUACGGAAAAUCAACUGCAAGCAAAAAUAAAUAAAAGAAAAUAAUUUUAUUAAUAUUAA